UGAGGCAUACCUCAGUGGUGGAAGAUCUGCUUUGCAUGCAGAAGGUCCCAGGUUCAAUUCCUGGUGUCUCCA